GCAGAUGAUUUUCAUAUUCAAAAUAAAAAAUAAUUUAAGAAUUAUGCAUGUAAACCUUAAUAAAUAUCUAGUUUUUAUAUCAAUAUCAUUCCAAAAAUAUUAUUUGCAUAUGUAUAUGUUGUUUUCAAAUUUUGCCUAUGAAGAUUUGGAGAUAUAGAAGGCAUUGAUUAAUCCACUCAAUUUAUAGUUGUAGAAAAUGGAGCACCAAUAUGCCUUGGAGAGUCAUGGAUUUACACAUAAAAAAAAAAAAGAAGAAGAUGAGAACUAGCUAAAUUGGCUCCGAUCGAGCUCUCCAAUGCUUAAGCUAGGGGAAGCUUUGGAAGAACAACAAUAAAGGAAAGAUAUAAAACAAGAUUAAAGUAGAAUAUUGACUUGUCCUGAUCGAUUUAAUUUUGGUCUGCCUUCAUCUCGACAUCCUCAGAACGAUCAUUUUAUCUUUGCUUUCUCAGAUUAAUCAUAGAAGUUCAACUUGUGGGAUGUUGGUCUUGGGUUCCUCACUUUAGCCUUCUAAUAUUAGUCUUAUGAGAUCGGUCUUGGGAGUCCGGCCACGAAGUUCUCAUCUUGACCUCUAACUUGAUAGCACAAUCUCAGUCCUGGUAGCUCAGUCUUGAUUAUUAUUUUAGUUUUGAUCUUCAUCUUGAUCUAAAACUUGAUAGCUCAGCUACGGGCAUCACCUCGUAGACUUACUGAUCUGAAAAAAAUAAAAUGAUAGAUAAAAGCUUAAGAGCCUCUCACCAUAAGAUCUUUGAAUUAUGGGAGUCUCCCUUUCAUAGGUUAUUUUUCUGGGGUCUAUUUGACUCUAUUUAUAUUAGCACAAGAGCAAGGAUCCAACAUGAUUUAGACUCAAAAAUCAAAUACUUGCUAUAACCUCUUUCCUUAUCCGGAGAAUUCGAAAUUGUCUUAACUUCCUUCCUUAUUUGGAUUCUCUGAAAUUCAAAUCCAUUUGAAAUUGCUUACCAUAUGUCAUAGAUUUCAUGCCUUAUCAGUAUCCUUUGAAAUCUUUUUGAUUUAUGCAUAUGUCCUUCCAUCAC
rnacentral:lncRNA from 1 species